UUUGGGGCUCUCUCGCCGCCGCCGCCGCCGCCGCCGUUCUUUGCAGUCCCUGGGCUUCUGCCGCCGCCGCCGCUCUUUCUUCAGUCGGGUCUCUCCUUUCCUCUCUUUCCGGUGUUAAUUUCGGGGAAAAUCUACCAAGGCGAAGCCCAAGCAGCUUCGCUUUCGCCCAGCAGACGGAGGAUCCCCAGCCAAGUGCCAACGCCAAAAGCGAACAUGGAGAGAAGCGAAUGUUACACGCGCGCGAAGGGGAGGGAAAAAGCCAAAGGAGAGCGAGUGAGAGAUCCAAAGAAUUACAGUGCUUGGAUUGGAUUCCAUUGUUUAAUGGCUGGAAGUAGAUGGCUAAGGAGAAUCCAUAAGGGAAUAUUUGGAGUGUACCUGGUAUUACAAGAAUCGAUUCUUCCUGUGCUCAAGAUUGUGGUUCUACAGAGAUACAGAGGGAGCCUCUGUAAGGAGUACUUGUGGGUGAUCUAAUUAUCUCCUUUGUCUGGAGAUGGUUCCGAAGAGCUGGAUUCUUCAUUGGCUUCUUUUAACCACCGUGGCAGUCAGUUCCACAAAAACAGAGCCAUCUUAAAUCUACCAUUACUUCCAUGGAAGCCCAGGAAAACAGAAUUCUAAUACCUCCAGAGGACAUCAGAUUGGAGAAGAUUGAUCUUACCAGAUCUGUGUAGAGGGAGGCACAAUCUGAGAGCAUGAAAUUCUGGAUUCAAGUUCUGCAUCAAGCACUAUCCUAUGGAACCUCAGUGAAGUCAGCAAUGUAUGAAGAAUGUAGGCUGUGCUUUGCCAGUUUCCAGUUCUCACUGAUCAUUGGCAGGGAAUCCAUAACAAUGGCCAACAGGAAGUCACCUGCAUUUUCUUUUUGGUUUUUCAAAAACUAAUGUGUAAUAUUAAUUCAGGAGCAGUAUGGAAGAUAUAUAUUGAAAAUGGCAGUGCUUGGGUUUGGUUCAGAGAAAGCCAAAGGUCUCAAGCAUCACGGAUACGACGCCUCCAAUACUGUCACUGGUUAACAGUUUUCACUGUGUACAGUGACCCAAGAAUAAUUGAAGCAGUGAACCAAAAUGUGCAAUAAACCACUUGGAUAAAGUUUCAUGUUUUCCAUAACAACAACAAUAAUUAAAAAUUGAUGCUGGUACACACAUUGACCAUGGAAAACAAACAGGGGUCAGAAUCAGCUGACCCAAGCCUCAAAGGAGAUUGUCCAGACACAGAUUGAACUCCAAUCAAGAAAGGAAACAGUCCUGACAUCUUUUUUAAAGGCAAAAAUGAUAGCAUCUGUAGAGUGUGAAAUUGUAACAACUCAUGCUAUUAUGCACUGCAGUUCGAAAAUUCUGAUAAAGCAAUGUUGCAUUUCCUGUCCCUUUGAGACUAGGAGUAUCAUUGUAAUCUUGCAGUCAGGUUUUUCAGAUAGGAAAGCAGAGGCAGUUAGUAAAAGGAGGAAAUUGCUUUCACACACAAACACUUUUGUCCAGUUUCUGGGUUUCACCAUCAUCUGUAUUCUGCACCCUUUUUAAUAGAAACACUGGUGCAAACUAGGUGUAUUCUGUACAAAGCUAAGCACUUGUCCCAUUGAUUUUUGCAGGAAAGCAUUAAGAACUUUCUUUCUCCCAUGGAAGUCAUGGGCCUUAAACAUUUUAAAGUUUGUCUGGAAUUUAUCUAGGAGGAUACUCAACUCUAUUCACAUUCAGUGCAAAGGCUAUUCUUAAUCCUGUGCUACUGGUAUAACAAUCCAGACUUUUUCUUUGCAAAAGUAUGCUUUCAGAAUCAUUCCAUCUCACCCUUUUUCCUCUUUAUUUAAUUAACUGUCUCCUUUAGCUGCUAUUUCAAGUUUGAGCUUUUAUCUUAAUGCUUUAUUGCCCCGAUGAGCUAAAAACUAAAUAUACUGCCCAUUUCAUCCUUCUGAAUCUCUGUCUUUCUAAAGGGGAAAUUAAAACUCCCACUGAGCAAGGAAUUUGAUUUGUCCUUGAACUGACACGUAUAAAGGGUUACAAUAUAAAUACUACUGAUUGUGUGAUGGUAGCUUCUUAAUUUGUUACAUUUAUAUUCCACUUUUCUUCCACCAUAGAAGUUGAGUGAGUGGUCUACUAUUAGAUAGCUGUGAGCAGAUUAUCUCUUUAACAAUAUGAAAGUGGCUUGUCACUGAGUUUUUCUGGGAAGUUUUUCAAAUUUCCCAUUGUAAUGCACAGCCCUGGGAUAUCCCUGUUAUUUUCUGUCCAAGUACCAACUAGUCUAAACUUGCUCAGUUUUUUCAAGAUUAGCCAGGGACAGCUAGGUAUUGACACUAGCCGAGAAACAUUACUAGUAAAUGGUACACUAAGUUAUAAUUCUGUUGUGACAUAAACUCAAUUAAUAUACAAAAGUAGUUUUUUAAAAAAUAGUUCAUAUUUCAGGUUAAGCACAUACUUAAGUCUCUCUCCUAUUUAAAUAAAACGAGGCUUAAAUAUGCAAAACUUUAAUCAGGUUAUUCUAGGAAUAAUCAAAUAGGUAGAACGAAUGAAUGAAAAAUCCACAUUCAGUUUUUGUCUAAGGAAGUUUAACUCUACUAUUUUACCUGACUGUUAUCAAACAAGGAUUAGAGAGGUUAGGGAAAGGAAUACUUAUUAGCUGAUUCCAAAGAGGAUUACCUUGUGAGUUGUUGUAUGCAUCUUGCCACACUGUUCAGCAUUAUAUGAGACCAAUAAAGAAAUAAAGAAUGUCAUAUCAUUUUAAGGAAGGGUUGGCAAUGAUAUCCAAGGUAUAUUUAGGCAUGGUUAAAUGCUGUACAUUAUGACUGUGACUUAUCCUUUAACAAGAAUGCAAUAGAGAUAUUCAUAAUGUUAAUGUCUAAAUGGUUAUUUGAAUAGCUUACUCCAGACUCUGUACUUCCUUCACUGAUCAAGCAUUUUGAUAUAACACUGGUUUUAUAUAUGCAGCUGUCUUCUACGAAAUCAGGUCCUUGGUUCAGCUAGCAUGUUAUUGUUCCAUAGCAGAGUCUUCCAGGAUUUCAGAAGAUGUUGACCCUGAGAUCUGUGGGUAAUGCAGGAGUUCUCCCACUGAACCAUGGUCUCUGAACUACUGAGCCACAUACAAUAGCUUGUGAAAAGCCCAGUGAUAAUCUGAAACAAGAACUUUCUAAGUAUCACUAGAAAGACUUAUACUUAACAGUACUACUUUAGUUCGAUAUUAGGGAUAUGUUAAUUUAACUAUGUUUAGAUGCUAAUGAAUUUCCAUUUGAUUGCAGUAAGAAUUUUCCAAGUAAAUAUACUUUAGACUGCAGAUAUUAUUACAUUAAACAUAAUGUAAAUGUAAUGUAAAUAUUAAACUCUGUAGCAAGAGAACAAGCCCUUUGGGACUUAAGGGGAUUUAUUCUGAAUUUUGUUAAGUUUCUAGUGCAGUUUUAAAAUAUUACUUAUUAUUGCAUGUUAGAAUGAAGUGAAUAAUCAUAUUAUUAACCUCCUUACUGAUCAGUUGAAAUACAUACAUACUGUAACAUUUUUGAGUUAUAUUAAUAUGCUGAGUUGCACAAUUCAACAUCUGUUAUGCCUUAGUUAAACAAUAUUUUCAUUCCUAAAUAUAUAAACUUGUGAAAACUACAUUAGUUAUUUUGAAAAGUGAUUAAA